rnacentral:rRNA from 1 species
CGAGUGGCGAACGGGUGAGUAACAUAUCGGAACGUACCGGGUAGCGGGGGAUAACUGAUCGAAAGAUCAGCUAAUACCGCAUACGUCUUGAGAGGGAAAGCAGGGGACCUUCGGGCCUUGCGCUAUCCGAGCGGCCGAUAUCUGAUUAGCUGGUUGGCGGGGUAAAGGCCCACCAAGGCGACGAUCAGUAGCGGGUCUGAGAGGAUGAUCCGCCACACUGGGACCGAGACACGGCCCAGACUCCUACGGGAGGCAGCAGAA